rnacentral:tRNA from 1 species
CAUUAGAUGGCUGAAAGUAAGCAAUAGAAUUUUAAACUAUUUGAUAAUAUAGUAACGUUUAUUUCUAAUGA